rnacentral:lncRNA from 1 species
CGGCGCCACUGCCCGCACGGCUGGACGGCACUCCGCGCCGGGCCUGGCCUCAGCUGCCCGCGCCCUGACGCCCACCCGCCUCGGACGCCGGCUCCCGCCCUGCGCCAGCCAGACGCCCUCGAGAGGCGCGCGCCUGCCCGCGGUCCUGUCGUAUUUGGCCCCACGUGUGACUUCAUGAAGAGUCCCUGUGACAGUCUGCUCAAGACCAGCUGCACAAAGCGUGUGUUCUGCGUGUCUGAGGACGAAACCAGCUACUCAGUCUCCAAGACCGUACAGUGGUGCCCUUCAGGUGACCUUCAGACGGACCAAAAUCACAUCUGCUAGCUUUUCUAGCCUUUACUUUUUCAUCAGAGUAUUAAAUUUGAGUUCGUUUCUGCUUGCCAGUUUAGCUGGUGUCAUUUGAUCUGGUUAAGAAUUUAUAGUCAGUAUUACCAAUACAGAGUCCUCUGUUAACUGUCUGAUUUUCAUGGACCUCUACAAGAAGGAAAAUAUACUCUUAGUAUCCCUUAUUACAGAACAAACAAUGACAAACAUGCUGUUAAGAACUUUGUUAUUUUUUUUAAUGAACUUUAUAUUUUUAAAGAAUUGGCAUUUUAAUUAACUGCAUUAAACUUUGAAAGACAGUAUAUUCAUUCAGCUUUUAAAGACUACAAUGUGGUUUUUAUUAUAUAGAUAUUUGCAUUAAUUCAGGGCUAGGGCCCAUUUAAAGCUAUAGCUUGAGAUAUGAAACCUUAAAACCUGUUUAAAGGCUUAGAAUAUGAUAUAAAGUAGGACAACAGCAAUAACCAUUUCUGUUAAUCUAGUAUUUAAGAAAGGCUCUCAAGGAUUUAGCAGCCUGUUCAUUCCCAGGGCAGAUUUUGGAAGUUUUUGUGUUCUUUCUUUGAUAGAGCUGUGUGUAUUGGCUCCACUCAUAUUCAAGUUGGGUAUUCCCCGGUGGCUCAGACAGAAAAGAGUUUGCCUGCAAUGUGGGAGACCCAGGUUCAACCCCUGGGUCAGGAAGAUCCCCUAGAGAAGGAAGUGACAACCCACUCCAGUAUUCUUGCUGGGAAAAUUCCAUGAAUGGAGGAGCCUGGCAGGCUACAGUCUGUGGGGUCACAAAGAUUUGGACAUAACUGAGCGACUUCACUUUCACUUCACUUUCAUAUUCAAGUUGUAGCUUUUUGGUGAACCUUCCCUGACAUAUACCCAAGGAGCUUACUCACCAGGCUCAAUCUGAUGACAUUGAAUCCAGGAUGGAGGGCCAC